GGAGGGAUGGGGUGACAUAGUGACAGAGGAUGCGGAUGACUAGUGACGGAGGGGGUGACUAGUGACAGAGGGAGGGAUGGAGUGACUAGUGACAGUCACCCCCUCCCUCACUCUGUCACUAGUCACCACCUCCCUCACUCUGUUACCCCCUCACUCUGUCACUGUGUCACCCCCACCCUCCCUCUGUCACUAGUCACCCCCUCCCUCUGUCACUGUGUCACCCCCUCCCUCCCUCCC